rnacentral:rRNA from 1 species
CCUACGGGUGGCAGCAGUAGGGAAUAUUGCUCAAUGGGGGAAACCCUGAAGCAGCAACGCCGCGUGAAGGAUGAAGGUUUUCGGAUUGUAAACUCCUUUUGUUAGAGAAGAUAAUGACGGUAUCUAACGAAUAAACACCGGCUAACUCCGUGCCAGCAGCCGCGGUAAUUCGGAGGGGGCAAACGUUUCUCGGUAUCGCUGGGCGGAAAGAGCGCGUAGGCGGGAGAGGAAGUCAGAUGUGAAAUCCUAUGGCUUAACCAUAGAACUGCAUUUGAAACUGUUAGUCUAGAGUAUGGGAGAGGUAGGUGGAAUUCUGGGUGUAGGGGUAAAAUCCGUAGAGAUCAAGAGGAAUACUCAUUGCGAAGGCGACCUACUAGAACAAAACUGACGCUGAUGCGCGAAAGCGUGGGGAGCAAACAGGAUUAGAUACCCCAGUAGUC